GCGUGCGCCGCGGCUGUUCCCUAACUUCGAAAUCCCGUCGCCGAAUCUCGCGCGACGUACAUUUUUUUUUUUUCCUCCUAUGACGACUACGGGCCUUUGACGCACUACGGAGACGAGCGGGGGGCGGGGAUUUCGGGAAGGGAAUUUUGGAAGGUUCUCCGACGUUCGGGAACUUGAGUCCGUAAAAUCCCUGGAAGGCGCCGGCUGACGAUUGCUGGCACGACGGCUCGGCCGACGCUUUGGCCUGGGUUUCCGAGCGGGUUGGCUAUUCCCGCCCUGCCCCAACAAUGGCAGCUCCAUGAAAACAAGGAACUUACCCAUUUCGGUUUUAGCACCACCAACACCUGGCUCCUGUAGACGCUCCAUAGGAAGCUUAACAUCUCUUGGGGAGGGAUGUCUCUGAAGCAGGAGGCAGCAAAGAUAAGAGUUCAACUAGCAAGUCUGAAAAUGGAGAAGAGAUCAGGAUACGUGGAUGGGGUCAAGAAGGACGUCGAGGAGAAGGU